rnacentral:rRNA from 1 species
UGAACGCUGGCGGCAGGCCUAACACAUGCAAGUCGAACGGUAACAGGAAGCAGCUUGCUGCUUCGCUGACGAGUGGCGGACGGGUGAGUAAUGUCUGGGAAACUGCCUGAUGGAGGGGGAUAACUACUGGAAACGGUAGCUAAUACCGCAUAACGUCGCAAGACCAAAGAGGGGGACCUUCGGGCCUCUUGCCAUCGGAUGUGCCCAGAUGGGAUUAGCUAGUAGGUGGGGUAACGGCUCACCUAGGCGACGAUCCCUAGCUGGUCUGAGAGGAUGACCAGCCACACUGGAACUGAGACACGGUCCAGACUCCUACGGGAGGCAGCAGUGGGGAAUAUUGCACAAUGGGCGCAAGCCUGAUGCAGCCAUGCCGCGUGUAUGAAGAAGGCCUUUCGGGUUGUAAAGUACUUUGCAGCGGGGAGGAAGGCGAUAAGGUUAAUAACCUUGUCGAUUGACGUUACCCGCAGAAGAAGC